rnacentral:rRNA from 1 species
ACGGGGCGCAGCAGGCGCGAAACCUCCACAAUGUGGGAAACCACGAUGGGGGAACUCCAACGUGCCUACACUAAGUGUAGGCUGUUCUCGAGCCCAAAAAGCUCGAGGAGUAAGGGCCGGGUAAUGACGGGUGCCAGCCGCCGCGGUAAUACCCGCGGCCCGAGUGGUGCUCAUUAUUAUUGAGCCUAAAGCGUCCGUAGCUGGCCGGGCAAAUCCUCGGGGAAAUCGGACGGCUCAACCGUCCGAAUUCCGGGGACACUGCUCGGCUUGAGAUCGGGAGAGGGACGAACGGUACUCCCGGGGUAGGGGUAAAAUCCUGUAAUCCGGGGGGGACCACCAGUGGCGAAGGCGUUCUCCUAGAACGAAUCUGACAGUGAGGGACGAAGCCCUAGGGCGCAAACGGGAUUAGAUACCCCGGUAGUCUAGGGUGUAAACGCUGCAGACUUGGUGUUGGGGGUCCUGCGUGGGCUCCCAGUGCCGGAGCGAACGGUGGUAAGUCUGCCGCUUGGGGAGUACGGUCGCAAGACUGAAACUUAAAGGAAUUGGCGGG